CCCUAUUAUGGUUAGCUAAUAAAAAGAAUUUAGAGUAGUAAUAGGUAUAUUCAGGAAACUCAAAAAAUUUGGCGGUAUUUAUUCUAAAUAGAGGAAUAUGUUUUUAAUCGAUAAUUCACGUUUAUUCAACCUGUAUUAAUUUAUUUUGUAUAUCUCCGUCUCAAAAAAUUUUUCAGAAAAGUAAUUUUAGAGUCUUAAAAAGAAAAAGUCAGGUCAAGGUGCAGAUUAUAUACAGGAAAAAAUGUAUUACAAUAAAAAUAUUUUUGGAAGUUUAAUGAAAUUAAAUGGAAAGUGGAUUUAUUAGUAAAUUAAUUUAAAUAAAAUUUAAUUGAAUAAGUAAAUAAAUAUGCACACAUCGCCC
rnacentral:rRNA from 1 species